GACGUAGGGGGCAAGCGUUGUCCGGAAUCAUUGGGCGUAAAGAGCGUGUAGGCGGCCUGAUAAGUCGGCUGUGAAAGUCAAGGGCUCAACCCUUGAAUGCCGGCCGAUACUGUCAGGCUAGAGUCCGGAAGAGGCGAGUGGAAUUCCUGGUGUAGCGGUGAAAUGCGCAGAUAUCAGGAGGAACACCUAUGGCGAAGGCAGCUCGCUGGGACGGUACUGACGCUGAGACGCGAAAGCGUGGGGAGCGAACAGG
rnacentral:rRNA from 1 species